AGACCAGCCCAGUGGUCAGGGGAAAGACAACAGAGGGUGAAGCAAUUUUGCGUUAAGUUCUCUGAAACAGAAAUUCUGUUUCAGAAAAAGGGGGAGAGGUAAAUAGAUAAUCAUUAUUACCACCAUUAUUUGCCCAAGAAUUAUUUUAUACUUUUUAUCUUUUUUAAACCUAUUACCUUUUUCAUCCCUCACCACUAUUACUAAAAAUUUUUGACCAAUCAUUAUUUUAUAGAUAUAGAGCAUUUUUUAAACUUUUAGCUUGUUUAUCUUUUAAAGUUUGAUUUUAAAACAACCACUAUGCAGAUGAGCAAUUACUUUCAGCAAUAUUGUAAAAGUUUUAGCUUUUAAGACACACUCAAUCCUAACUUUAAAAUAUGAAAUGUAGACACAAAAUUAAACUUUCACUGUUCAACAUGUAAGCCAUUUUUUGAACAAGAAAAACAAUGUGUGGGGCUUGAUAAAUUGUUUAAGGAAAUAGAUGUAUUGUUGGUAAUUGUGAAAAGCAAUCUGCUUGGCAUUGUAUAUGCAUAAAUACAUAUUGAAAAUAUUUAUCAGGAAAUGUAAAAGCAUUGUUCAGAUUUUAUUUGCUAUAAUAACAAGAACAAAGCAAAGCAUAAAAUUGUUUAUUGAUAGUGCCAAUAUUAUUGUCUGUAAUGGAACGAUUGAUACAGAGAAAAAUAAUCACGUUCCACUUAUCCCAAUUCUUAAAGCACUAAAUAAAAUCAACUACAUCUAGAAAUCAAGGCUUUAUAAAAAUCUUGGGAACUGAAUAAAGUCAGAAACAUAAUUUCUUAGUAAAAUAGCACACUGCAGAAAAUUAAAGUGGCAGGUAAAAUAAUAUAGCCACAAGCGGUGAUUCUAAAGUCCAAGCAAAAAGUAACCCAAGAAAGCCCAGUACAUCAAUAUGGAACCAUUCCUGAGACAGAAGCCACAGUAUGUGUAGUUUGUGCAGAAUUUAAAACUUUGGGCCCUGAUAUUCUAUCAAUCAGUGUGGAUAUGGAGGGGAGAAUAGUGCAGCUGAUCAUUAAAACUUUGCAUGGAGCAAUAAUAAUAAACAUGAUUCAGAUAUAUUUCCAAAUGUUGGUUCCUUAUCUAUUAUCUAUAUAGUGUUACCAAUACAAUAUGAGAAGCUUUCAGUGGUAGGUUUAACAGCAGGUGCAUUUAAAGCAACAGCUUUGGGCUGUGAAGCAGUAAAAUAUGGUCUGUACAAUGAUACUGCAGAGUUGAGGUGUGUUUGUGAGAGUGGAAGUGUUUGAGUUUGUGAGUGUGUGCAUGCACGAGAAAUAGUGUGUGUCUAGUGGUAAACUGGGUGGUGAACAUUAGUAGUGUUUGUAAGAGCUAAUUUGGAUAUAACAGAGCCACAGGGAAGCAGUUACACUAAAAGGGAGAGGGAUGUGAACAAAAGGCAGGUAAAAGCAAGUAAUUAAUGGUGAUGAUAAUUAAAUGUUGCAAUUUAAAAUUGAAAAUUCCUAAAAGUUAGGGAUUUAAAGAAAUGACUAAAUGUUACGGAUUGAUAGCACUUUUGACAGUAAAACUCAUGAGUGAAUAUAACUGAAAGACAACUGAAGAAGGCAAGAAAACAAAAAUUGGGCUGAAAUCUGUGCACAGACAAAAUUUAAAUAUGAAAUAAUUAACUUCCAAGGGGAAAUUAGAGCUCAAGUUAAGUGUGAUAAAUGUAUUUUGACCAUGUAUUUUAACUUGCAGGAAGGAGACACGGAGGACCCCUAAAAGACUUCCAAAAUGAAUAGAGAACCUUAAACAUGAUUAUAACGAAUACAAAAGUCUCGUUUCAGAUCUGUUUACAUAGGGGGAGAAGGAGAACGUGGUGCAAAGGUGGACCAGUACAGACACAGAGUGAGGGUUCCUCCGCCAUUGCACACGAAAGGGGAACGAGCAUGGCUGGAUUGGGCCUUUCCAGGUGACUGAGAGAACAACGUAUGCAGAUCAACUGAUAGGCGAGGGUUCUACAGCUGUGCAACAACAGAGAUCGCUUAGAGAGCCAGAGGGAGAGGUGAGCACAGCAGCUGAAUCGUCUGACCCAGAUGGAGGCCCGCAGCAGGAAGGAGGGGCAGCAGAGCCCCCGCAGCACGGGCCUGGCCUGGCCACAGCAGAGAAAAGAUUUCUCAAGAGCACAGCAGCAGCAGCACACAGCCUGGCUGUGACCGAGGAGAGGAAUUGAGGGAGUGACUCAUUCAACAACGUUUCGAUUGCGUCAAAGUACACUACAUACAGAGACUCUUAACACAUCUCAUUAAAAACACACAUAGUCUUAUCACACAUCAACUCAUACUUUUCAUUCACUGAUAUUGCAGACAUCAAGAGCCAGAAUAAAGCUCUUCGUACGUGGGCCUGAGGUAGUCUACCUUCAGAACCGUGAAACAAGAAGAAAGAAGAAACGAACAACACGCAUUGCAACUUUAACAUUUACACAUAUAGGGUUAUAAACUGUGAUUUGCUAAAUUAGGGGGGGGAACACAUUAUUUUUUCUUUACAGGUUGUACUGAACAUUGCUUUCCUUUACAGGUGGCCGAAAGACUCUUGAAAAAACGAAAUUGUAAAAAAAAUAUAUACACUCUGUAACCUUAACACUUACACAUAUAGAGCUAUAGAUAACAAGUUUACUAAAUAGUGGAAAACUUAGAGGGAAAACACAUUUAUGGUUUAAGAAUGGCUUGGUACGGAAAAAGGGAGUGGGACAGGUCAAAGUACGGAAACUAUAACGGACCAGCAUUUCCUCUGGUUAUUCCAAUAUGGCUCCAGAUAAUAGUACCAGUUGCCCUCAUGGGUAUAAUGAUAAUAACACUGACCAUUGUCUCAAAACAAGAACAACUAACAACGGUAGAGGGAACAAUUGUAAACACAUCAGCAACCGUACACCCGACAAACGCAACAACUACAGACCAGCCCACACGGCUUAAUAGAACCAAACGAUCAACCAUCAAUCAGCCUAACUCAAAAUGCAUCAGGCGCUGGGGAGGUAUAGAAUUAGACUAUUAUUGGGGUGAGAUGACCAUAUGGACAGUGAACUCAUGCGACGUGGUUACUUGUGGUAAGCAGGGGUACAAGGGGGAAGCGGUGUACUUGUGUUGGUCCCGUGAUGAUAAUCUUAAGUGUAACCAUAAGGGUGAUUCUCACGAAGACCUUCACAUUAACAUAAAAAGUUUUUCACCUCAUUGCAACAUUUUUUUUUUUUCAAGUUGAGAAGCUAAAAUAGCAUGUGUAUUUUCCUAUAUUGUUUAUUUUUUCAUAUAUUUUGUAAAUAGAAUUUUAUUAUCAUUUGAAUCUUAUAUGAUCCAGAAUAAUUAUCAUUACCGUUACAGUAAAUGACGAAGCUAGAUCAACGGUUCAAAACAUUUUUGAUGAUUAAUUUCAUAUUUCCACAACAAAUCCCAUCAACUUAACAGCACAGUCCUUGACAAUUACUUUGAUCUUUUUUAUUUAUUUAUUUAUAGUUAAGCAACUCUCAUUACCGAUACAACAUUUGUAAAAUAUCUUUUCAUUUUUUUAAUUAAUGGAAAUUAUUUUAGAAUAUGUUUGAUCAAAAACUCAUGUGGACAACAGGUGAGGGGUAUACUAUAGUAAAAUGAAGAAAAGUUAUGAUAAGAUGUGAAACAUUUAAAAAAUUUACAUUUUAGAUCCAUAACGGUAAUGAGAUGCUCUUAGCUAAUUUCACAAAUAACUUAAAAUGCUAAUAUGCUAACAACCUAUAACUUUGCCAGCUGUCAAAGCCUUAUAUUGUGAUAAUAUUCAUGAAAUAAUUUAUUUUUAUAUUUUUAAAAGUAAUGAGUAUUAAACCAUAACGGUAAUGAUAAUACACAGUGUCACUGAGGACAGUUUUAGCAAUAUUAACACAGAUUUCUCAAAGGGAGAGAAUAGUGACUAACUGACCUUAUCUCCAUUUUGAAGCUUGUGUCUGAACUGAUGCAUCAUGGGAUAGCUGAUCAAUUUGAAGGCACAGUGUAAUUUUUUUAGGGGGGUAAAAUCAUGAAACGGUAAUGAGAAAAAUUGUUCGGACACAGUUAUUUUGUUUAAAAUCAAGUACAUUUUUUGUUCAACACCAAAAAUAAUUUUAUGUAUAAAUGUUGAUACUUUAAAUGACUUUAAUCUAUUUUAUUGAUUCGAUAUGCUUAGUACUUUUAAUAUGGUUUAACUUAAAAUUAGAAAGAAGGGGUACGGACACAUAACGGUAAUGUGAAUUUCCAUAUAUUUUUUAUUUAAUUUAUAUAAAAAUAAUUUUAUAUGAACAAUUGAUCCAUACAGUACUACCUAUUUGCUUUACACACAAUAUCAGAGUUUUUGUGAAUUGAGUACUGAUUUAAAAAAAAUUGUCAUGGACAUGUUCCCUGCAGCUUCAUGAGAAUCACUCAUAACACCGACCAAACAGCUUAUAAAGCCAGACCUUGUAACAAGUGGGAACACGUAAUUAGGUCGACACAUGUCAAUUGGGAUCCAAGCAAACGCUGGGCGACUCGUGAGCGGGAAAAAUGGAACAAACUUAACACACAAAGGGAUAAUGGUGCGAUAAAUAAUCUGAUAUCCAUUGCAUUACAGUGGCAAUCCGAUCCUAAGGGGGAAAAAUCUUCGGCAUUUUUUAUAGGGGUCGGGGUGGAUGUAAAUGGUAACGACCCUGUCGGAUGGAUCAAAGUUAGAGUUACAGAUACACCGACCAUCGACACAGACGAGGCCACAAACAAACACAAUAGAUAAAAAAUGGGGGGGAUCGGCCUAUACUGGAGUGUGAGGAAGAGCAAGAGGAAAUGCUGUGAACCACCCAGUCUUGGGGAUGACUUUAAGGUUAUGAUGUCACUUCCUCCUUUGAUAGAGUUCGUCUCAUUGGCCGCCUGGGGGCAGAGGGGUCGUGAGAGAAUUUUUCCUGUCAAAAUGGGUUGGAAGGCUGCUCGACAGGUUUUCGCUCUCACCGUUAGCAAAAUGUUCACUCACGUGUUGAUCAAGUGUUGAACAUAUGUAAAUAUACAUAUUUGGAGGAAUUAUGAUGUGUUGACGUAUCUGGUUGAUACGUCAAAAGGGAGAAUUAAAGAGUAACUGUUUAUUUUACCUUGAGUGUAUUGACAAAUAUCUUUCAAUAAUGAUUACUUAUCUUAGUAUCUAUAAUUACAUAAUUAUUGUGUGAAACCUUGUAUUGUAUAUGCAUUAACCAAUACUCACAUUAUAUUUGAUCAUUUUUACUCACAGUGUAUUUUACACGCAAUUAUAUAGAAGAUUAACCAAUAAUCACAAUAUAUUCUUUACAUAUAUAGUAAAACAUUGUUUGAUCAGGCAUGUGACUAACACAGACUUUAUUAUAUGACAAAUUAACCCACAUUAACAUAUAACAUAUGAGAUGUAGCUCAGGCUUGAAGUAUUUUGUUUUACUGCAUGACCCUAACUAACGGUCAUCAAUUCGACUGGUACGGGGCUAAUUUGCUACAAAAAGGCUAUUAGAUCAAAGCAGCCUUUUGGUGAGUGAGUGCCUCCCUAAAAAACCUCUGCUUCAAAGCGGGGGGUGACGCACACACACAGAUAGUGCCAGGAUGGAAGAACACAGUCAAGGCCAAACACUAGUGGUCCGGUCAGACAUGUGAAACUUGAGUACUAACACGUGAAAUUAUGCAUAUUAACAUGAGCUAAUCAUUAGCAACGCCUCAGCAGGUUUCACGUCAUUUGGGGUAUAAACAUGGAGUCAGAUCAGAGGGGGGUCAGAAAUUUUACUAUUUGAUGGCUGCUAACUGUCUUGUAUGUAUUGGUUCUCCUGAAUUCAGUAUUUUGUAAUAAAUACUUGAUUUGCUUUCAACUUCA